GGGAUAGUCAAGGUUUCGACAGGCCAUAUGAAGUUAUAAUAGCAUGCCAUGGUUGCGCAUGUAAAAACGCCGAGGUUUAAAUUAACCGCAAAUCAAAAUUACGCAUUAGCAGCUUAAUUACUAAAUAGUUGCGCUUGUGAUAGGGUACCCCUUAAGCCUUGUUAACAGGCUCAUGCAUUAAGGGAUGAGUCAGGAAAGUAUCUCGGUUUCUGAUUCGAGAUUAGAGGUUAGUUUGUUAACGGUUUGUUCUUUGUUCGUUAACAGAUGAAAUUCAAACAAAGGAAUAAGCAUGUAGAAGUUGUAAAGGAUUAUAGUUUGGACAGGGGUUCGACUCCCCUCUAUUCCACCA
rnacentral:tmRNA from 1 species